GCCCUUCGGGGUACUCGAGCGGCGAACGGGUGAGUAACACGUGAGUAACCUGCCCCUGACUCUGGGAUAAGCCUGGGAAACCGGGUCUAAUACCGGAUACGACCAUUUCUCGCAUGUGAUGGUGGUGGAAAGUUUUUUCGGUUGGGGAUGGGCUCGCGGCCUAUCAGCUUGUUGGUGGGGUGAUGGCCUACCAAGGCGACGACGGGUAGCCGGCCUGAGAGGGCGACCGGCCACACUGGGACUGAGACACGGCCCAGACUCCUACGGGAGGCAGCAGUGGGGAAUAUUGCGCAAUGGGCGGAAGCCUGACGCAGCGACGCCGCGUGGGGGAUGACGGCCUUCGGGUUGUAAACCUCUUUCAGCAGGGACGAAGUUGACGUGUACCUGUAGAAGAAGCGCCGGCUAACUACGUGCCAGCAGCCGCGGUAAUACGUAGGGCGCAAGCGUUGUCCGGAAUUAUUGGGCGUAAAGAGCUCGUAGGUGGCUUGUCGCGUCUGCCGUGAAAGCCCGUGGCUUAACUACGGGUCUGCGGUGGAUACGGGCAGGCUAGAGGCUGGUAGGGGCAAGCGGAAUUCCUGGUGUAGCGGUGAAAUGCGCAGAUAUCAGGAGGAACACCGGUGGCGAAG
rnacentral:rRNA from 1 species